rnacentral:rRNA from 1 species
GUGCCAGCAGCCGCGGUAAGACGUAGGAUCCGAGCGUUGUCCGGAGUUACUGGGCGUAAAGCGCGCGCAGGCGGACACGCGCAUCGGCGGUGAAAGCCCCCCGCUCAACGGGGGAGGGUCCGUCGAGAUGGCGUGUCUGGAGGCAGGGAGAGGCCAGUGGAAUUCCGGGUGUAGUGGUGAAAUGCGUAGAGAUCCGGAGGAACACCAGUGGCGAAGGCGGCUGGCUGGACCUGACCUGACGCUGAGGCGCGAAGGCGUGGGGAGCGAACGGGAUUAGAUACCCCGGUAGUCC